UUCUGGCUCAGGACGAACGCUGGCGGCGUGCUUCAUACAUGCAAGUCGAACGAGAAUCUGGCUUCGGUCAGAGGAAAGUGGCGGACGGGUGAGUAAUGUGUAGAGAAUCUGCCCUUUAGUGGGGGACAACAGUUGGAAACGACUGCUAAUACCCCAUAUGCGCGUAGCUGAGAUGCUAUUCGUGAAAACUCCGGUGCUAAAGGAUGAGUCUGCAUCUGAUUAGCUAGUUGGCGGUGUAAUGGACCACCAAGGCGACGAUCAGUAGCUGGUUUGAGAGGAUGAUCAGCCACAAUGGGACUGAGACACGGCCCAUACUCCUACGGGAGGCAGCAGUAGGGAAUUUUGCGCAAUGGGGGAAACCCUGACGCAGCAACGCCGCGUGAUUGAAUAAGCCCUUCGGGGUGUAAAGAUCUGUCAGUAGGGACGAAACUUGACGGUACCUACAGAGGAAGCAUCGGCUAACUCCGUGCCAGCCGCGGC
rnacentral:rRNA from 1 species